AGCGUGCUGCCUGCCGCCUGCGUGCUCGUUCACGAUAGGGCCAGCGUCAGGUGGGAGAGGCGCGUUCCAGUUGGAAGUCACGUGAGGUUCAGCCGGGACUUGAGGCGGGAAAACAUCCCAUACAAGCGUACACAUACCCUUUACUUACUAACGACACUAUAGCGAGCUAGAUAACUGAAUGGUUAGCUAGCCGAGUUACUAGCUACAAACACAAAUAGAUAGCUACCGACAUACUGUAGCUAGGUAGCCGGUUAUAGAGAGGAUGGUUAGCUAGUUACGAGUUAUUAGCUACCUACACAAAAUGAUAGAUGGAUAUCUAGCCUGAGUUUCUAAACGGUGAAUGAUUAGCUUGCUUUAGUUACGAGCCACCGACACGGGUAUAGGCAUGAUCUAGCUAGAUAUUGAAUGUCCACCCAUUACACAUUUCUAAAAGUUAAACAUUUUUAACAUCUUGUUAUUCAGUGUUUAAUGUAGCCAUGUUUUUGGUGAGUGCAAAAAAGCUACUGGAUGGUUCUUAUGCAAGAUGCGUAAAAGUAUUCAUGCUACUGGAGAUGCUGAGCCAAGUCAAGUCAGCCCUCUGCUACACCACACAGCACUCCAGGAUGAUUCAAAAGCUGAAAUCCCAGGAUGGAAAAGUCAAAUGCAACACAAUGCCAUUCUGGACUUUACAAAAGAAUCUGAGAGAGAACAUCAACGACAGGAGGAGACUAAGGCCAAAACAGGGAUGUUUUUAAACCUUGAGAUAAUGCCUGAUAAGGUUUAUACAUUUGUUGAGUUUAUCAUAUUCUUAUUUCUAUUUCAUAUGUAUAUUUGAGACAUUUUCUUUUUUUUAUGUUUUAGUGCUGAUUGCAAGCUAUUAUUUAUUAGAGUUAUUUGGUGUUUGUCAAUAAAUGUCACACUUA